rnacentral:piRNA from 1 species
UGUGAUUUUUUUCAUUGGUAUUUUCGG